rnacentral:lncRNA from 1 species
GGCAAGGUCCAGCAAGCUGGCUACAUGAUAGCCAAAGUAAACGUAGAACUGCAACAGGCUAAAAGUGAACACGUAGGAACAGGCAGUCAGUCCACGCACCACCAGGACAGCUGGCCACCUGCACUAGAAUGACAGAGUGAACCUUGGAGUCAGAAAACGCACCAGCGCUGAGCGGGAGAGUUCUCAAGGUAAAGAGAGGCACUCACUGAAGGACAGACAACUCCACACUUUUCUGCCUUCCAUAUUCAUUCAUUUUUCCGUCUCCCUUGAUCAUUACAAGAGCUGUAACCUAGUCAGUUUGUCCUGAUUUGAAUGGAAUCACAGGGUGGUACCCACAGGCAGGAGGGCCUGGCUGUGGGAAGGUUGCUCACCAGGUGUGCCACUGGUCACACACCUUGUCCCUCUGGCUUGUCUCUCUGUCUCUGUCUCCUGGCUGAGGCAGCUUCCCUCUGUGGAGCCCCCCAGCCAUGAUGCUCUGCCUCACCCAGGGCCCAGAGUGAUGGAACCUACUCAUCAUGAACUGAAAUUCCUCUGCAUUGUUUUGUUUGGUAUUUUGGUGACAGCAAUGAAAAGUUGACCAACAUGGGAUGUUUGUAGAAAAUCUUUGAAUUAAAAACAAUUCUAGUAGUCAUCAAUAAUGUAAAAAUAUAUAACUCAAUUAUAAGAUAAUAAAUUCAAUUAAAAAUUACGAUUAAAAAAUCUUAAUAUUUCUCAAAAGCAGAAACAGUGAGUAAACUUAUGAAAAGAUGUUCUCCAUCAUUGGUCAUCCAGAAAUUAAUUUAAUAUCACAAUGAGAUACCCCUCCACAUGCAGAAAAUACUUAUAAAAACAUUUGCCCAAGAGAAAUGAAAAUAUGUUCAAUAAAGAAUGAUGCAUAAAUAUGCAUACCUUGAAUAAUAGCCCCAAAGCUAGAAGACAGCUAAAUGUGUUAAAUGGAGAGGGUGUUGACAAACGAAUAAACAAUUUGUGCUCAUAAAAAAAUUACUCACACACAGGCUCACACCUGUAAUCCCAGGGACCCUGGAGGCUGAAGCAGGAGGAUUGCAAGUUCAAUGCCAGCCUCAGCAAACUUGGUGAGGCCCUACGAAACUUAGCAAGACCCUGUCUCAUAAUUUAAAAUAAAAAGCACUGGAGAUGUGGCUCAGUGGUUAAGUGACCCUGGCUUCAAUCCAUAGUACCAAAAAAAAAAAAAAAAUUACUCUGCAAGAAAAUGCUUCAUGAGGGAUUCCACCUCUUGGGUCCCCUUCUUCCUCAGGGAGAAGUCUUUUCUGCUGUCCUUUAAUAAACUUCUAAUUUCUACUCUGAAAAAAAAAAAAAAAAGAAAAUGCUUCAUGAGGGAACCCAGCACCAGAGUACACAUUCUAUGAUUCCAUCUGUGUGAAAGUCUACAUAAGAAUGCAAUCCCUAGUAACUGGAAGGAGGCACAAAGGGAGUGAUUGGGGUGAUGGAAGUGUCUUCUCUCUUAAAUUGGUAAUGGUUUCACAAAUUAGCAAAUCACAUUGAAAUAUUCACGUAAGCAACGAAUUUUGUGUUUGUUGCUUACAAUUCAAUAUAGUUGAUUGAAAACAGUUUUUAAAGCCUGGAUAUGCUGCCCAACCAUAAAUCCAAGAUCCUUUCUGAUUCUCCAGAACAGGGUGACCUUCAAUUGUUCAUAACAAGAACAAAUGAGUUGCUUUAACUUACUUCCAUCUGGGUAAAGAGUUUGCCCUUUAGUGUGAUUUCCACUGAUUAGAAACGGCUAAGGAUCUGUUUAUCAUGCUCCUCUUGUUAUGGUCUUUUUGUUUCCUUUGAGGUACAGUAAACACUUGUAUUUUAACCAGGUAUUUGAACAUUUUCCACUUCUUUUUUUUUUUUAAAGAGAAAAUGUUAUAGAAAAGGUAAAACAUCUGCAUGUAGGAAUAUGCAUUGAAAAAUUAUAAUUAAAGAUCUGGCUCUGAAGUUAUCAUGCAUUAUCAGUGGUCAGACCAGGUAUCGAUGCACAUUUUUCUUCAUUACAGCUGCCUGUUCAAGUCUUUUUGUCUGCCUCUGUGAUAGCACAGGUCUGGGGUGAUUUUUCUGAAAGCUUUCCUGUUUGUGCUGCCUGUAUAUGGGUUUGUGAUCUCUUUAUCUCCACCAUUUGACCCAGCUAUCCCACUCCUUGGUCUAUAUCCAAAGGGCUUAAAAUGAGCAUACUAUCAUGACAUAGCCAUACCAACGUUUAUAGCAGUUACCCUUUUCUCUUGAUGACCUUGGUUUCAGCAGAGCUCCUCGGGGCAGCCUGACUUCCGGAAUUCUAUAACUUACUUAAUUUUGAUCGCAGACUGCCCUGGCACUUUGCCACAAUCUGGCAUUGUAAGAGGUAAUUUGAGGGAUGGACCAUGCCAUAUCCGACUUCCACAGAAAGUCCCCAAAUGAUAUUCCCUCUGCCUAAGUAUAUGCAUCAUUUUUUUCUCUUUCAAUAAUUAAGGGAAAUAAAUCUGACUUUUAAAAAUUAGAGCUCUGAUUCCCAGUUUUGAUCAAUUCUAGAAGAGAAUUUUCUAUUUUUAAAUAUUUUUUUCUAUUUCUGCAGGAUGCCACUUCUGUCUUUCAUUUUGUUCUAUUUCUCAACCAUGUAAAACCUAAAUGUGAGUAAACAUGUCCUGGCUUAAUUAUCACCGGUCGUUCUCUACUUAUAUUCCAUUCCUCAGAAAAUGUAUAGGAGCUAAAAUUUACAGCCAUGCUUAGAAAAUUACUAAAUAUUCUUAUUAUGGAUCCACUCUUGGGAACUCUUAUAAACUGUUUAAAACACAUUUUCUUUGGAAAUAGUCCAAUUGAAGCUCUGUGCGGACAUAUUUAUUGCACAUCAGCACUCACAAUUUGUGUAGAUGAGUGAGGUUGGACUAGUUUUGUGAUAAGGAAGUUGAAGGAUACAAUCAAAGAAUAAAGAAGAAAGACUCUGGCAAUAAGAAACACAGUGAAGAGAAAUCAGGUUGCUCAGAGGGGACAUAGGACAUGACUUGCCACUUAGUCCAACUAGCCAAGGGAUGUACUAGUCUCACCUGUGUUCUGCUGUGGCAGAUUCCACAGUGGUCCCACAUCCUUCCUACUCAAGCUGCUUUACGUGAGGUUUCGAGCUUUCUCCCUCCAAGAGGCAGAGUUUACCUCUUCACUCCUUGUGACUCCUGCUUUGAUUAAUAUCAGGAAAUAAGAUAAAAGCAGAGAACUAAAACACAUCUGUGCGAGGUGCAUGCCCUUCUCUUGAUCAUGGAUCUUUGUAACCAGGUGAAAAAGCUCCAGCUAGCCUGUUGGAUGAUGAGAGAAAUGUACCCGGCUGUCCCUGUUACUCUGGCCAACAUCUUGUGUCAUGUUAACACACACAUGAGGCUGUCACACGUCAUCCAGCCAUCACAUCAUCUUGACCUAACAGCUCAUCAUGAGACCUAAUUAAACCAGCAGAGCUCCAUCGAGCUGCCCCAGACCAGAAGAACCACCCAACCAAAGUCUGAAUUGCAAUCUAAAUAAAUGAUGGAUGAUGCUGAAUCAGCAGCAGAAGCUGACCGAUACAAAACGAAAAAGUCAAUGAUCCCAACUGACCAUACAGGUCAAGUUAAGCAUUUCACUGAGAAACACUCAUAUAAUCUAAGUCCUAUAACCUCUUCUCAAUUUAACAAAUACUUAUUGUUACCUAGAAAAUGUACAGUUAAAUCAUAAGACAGACAAGUUAUAGCAUUCUAUUUGCAUUAAUAUAAUAUGAAGUAUAUCCAUUCUUUUACUUUUUAUUCAUUUUUAUUUAUUCUUUUUUAAUUAUAAAUGACAGUGGAAUCUAUUUUGAUAUAUUUAUACAAACAUGGUAUAUAUCUUAUUCUAAUUAGGACCACAGUCUUCUGGAUGUACACAAUGUUGAGAUUAACUGCUGUUUAUUCAUACACGUACAUAGGAAAGUUAUUUCAGAUUCAUUCCACUGUCUUUUCUAUUCCUAGCUCCCUUCUUCCCUUCAUUUUUCUUUGUCCAGUCAUCCGAACUUCUAUUCUUCCUUUCCCCCAAUCCCUUGUUGUGGGGUGGCAUGCACAUAUCAGAGAGAACAUUUGACUUUUGGUUUUCUGAGAUUGGCUUAUUUCACUUAGCAUGAUAGUCUUCAGAUCCAUUUACCAGUGAAUGUCAUAAAGUCAUUUUUCUUUAUGGCUGAGUAAUAUUCCAUUGUGAAUAUAUACCACAUGUUCUUUAUCCAUUCAUUUGUUGAAGGGCAUCUAUGUUGGUUCCAUAGCUUAGGUAUCGUGAAUUCUGCUGCUAUAAACAUUGUUGUGGAUAUGUGUCACUGUAGUAUGCUGUUUUUAACUCCUUUGGAUACUGUGUCAAAGAGUAGUAUAACUGGGUCAAAUGGGGUUUCCAUUCCUAGUUUUUUUGAGAAAUCUCCGUACUGCUUUUCAGACUGGGUACACUAAUUUGCAGUCCCACCAACAACGUAUGAGUACAUUUCCUGAAUUGUUUUCAAAUAUAUUCUAAAAUGACUUCAAAAUAACAAUCUAUAUUAAAGAUCUGCUUGAAACACUAGUGAAAAUGUUCACCUGUCCCAUGGCUUUGGAAGAGAGGAGGUAAAUGGGUGAUGUUGCUGGUCUCCCAACAGAGACAUGUGUGUUUUGCCUAGAGAUGGUAUUCAAUAUGGAUACAGCUGCCUCCAUUAUCAGGCACACUUAUCUUUCAUGAAAGUGGAGAAGCUGUUUAGAAUGUGAGUGGUCAAGUUCAAGCAGUACAGCCUCACCAUCAUCCUUUGUGCCUCUUCUUGGCAUCACCAGAGGGAAGCUGGAAAUGCCAAUUGUCAGAACCUCUUCUCUCUCUCCAUUUCAGCCAGGGCAAGCCACUAGAAAGAUAUUUGGAAACAGCAAGAAAGAAAAGCUCUCUGCCCACUUCAGCUGCAGGAAGGCCUUGACACCCAUGUUGGAUUCCUUGGACACCCAUGUUGGAUUCCUUGACACCCUGAAGUCCUCCCUGGGGAGAAACAACAGAGACCACAUCUACCCUUCCCAUGCAGAAUGGCCUCACUUGGCUUCCAGGGAACCAUCCACGUGGGUCCUGGGCUCAGCUGGAAUCCUGGACCACAGCUCCCUCUAAGCCUGGUAAUUCUGAAUUUCUUAAAAAGCACACUCUGACCUUCACCCCCGAAAUCUUCCUAAUGAUUGUAUGAGUUUAUAAUUUUAUAUGUCAAAUUUAUGUCCAAUAAAAUUACCUAGUAUGUUUUUCUUCAUGAAAUGUUUCAACUCAUGUUUUUUGUUACUGUAACUGUUUCAGGGAAAUGGAAUCUUUAGAAGAAUAUAGGAAUCAAUCUUCCUACCUGCUUAGAACCAAAGAACAACCACACAGAAAUGGAUGGCAACCUACUUAUAAUGUCACGGCCUAUGUUACCUCCACGUUUCCCUACAAGGCAGAGCGUACUGAAGGCAAGUGACAGAGAGAUUAAGUUGCUCAUGAUAGACUGCUAUAAAGUGACCACUAAGUGGGCCGCUUCUAGCUGCUCUCAAGAGCUCAGAAAACAGGUAGUGCCAUAGCUGCUUGAAAAUGUGUGUGAGCUACUGAUUCUCACCUAGACUGGUUUCAGGGCUCACACAGAUAAGAAAUAUGACAAUUUCAGGAGCAAGAAAAUUCAGAGGUGAUUAUGCAAGUGAGAAAAAAAUGCAUUUUUUUCUUUUUUUUUUUUAUGUGUGUGUGUGUGUGUGUACAGGGAUUGAACUCAGAAGGCCUUUACCACUGAACCACAUUCCCAGACUUUUUAAAAUUUCUUUAUUUUGAGACAGGGUCUCACUAAGUUGUUCCCUAAUUAGCUGAGGCUUGCCUUAAACAUGAGAUCCUCCUGCCCCAGCCUCCUGAGUUGCUAGGAUUACAGCCAUAUGCCACCAUAUCCCAGUACAGCUUUUGAAAAUAUAAGAUUAACCAACCUCUAACUCCAACGAGGCAGCAGCAGAUCUAGAUUUAUAUUUUGCCUUUGAUACUAACAGUGGGUAUACGAACUUGAGGUUAUUACUUAAUAUUCCUGUGACUACUUUUAAAAAGUACAGAGACAAAGGUAGGCGGGUCCUUCUUUGAACUCAGAAAGAGAACUUCAAAGGGGUCGAAGAAGCAUCCCCAGCCAUGAGUUCCAACCGGAAUGGCACUACCAAGUGUUCCCCAGAGGGCAGAUUGCACUUCUCACACUCGUGACCACCCUUCCCUUCUGGCUUGCCACUCCUGACAGAUUAAUCCUCUAGGAGCGUAAAGCCUCUAAAUCAUUUCUCUCUUCAAAACACACAAUGGUUUUCUGCUGAGCACAAAAUAGGCCGUAACUCUGCAUCCUGGUGUUUAAGGUUUAAAAGAUGGAAAUUACUGGAUUGAGGCAUUAUUAUCCAAACUAGCUUUGGAAUAUAGCCACAUAUUAAUUGGUUCUCUCAAUAAUCUAUUUAAUCACUCAAAAUACAUUCAUUGAAUGUCUCCAAUGUGUCAGUUACUGUGUGAAAUACUAGGGAACAAAGUCAAUGAAGCACAGUCUCUGCCUUCAAAGACUGGCCUCCAGGUGAGCAUGGAGGGCAGAAAUACAGGGGGAAGCCAUCCCACAGGGUGACCGUUGUUAUGACGUAGGUGUGCACAGGAAGUGACAGGAGACAAAUGGAGAAUCUCUAGCAAACCACAGCAGCAUGUGAGAGGGAGCCUGGCCAGGGCCAGAGGUUUGAGGUACAGAAAGGGGGCACCAGUAACCCCAGCUACUCAGGAGGCUGAGACAAAGACGGCAAGUUUGAGGCCAACCUGCCCAACUUAGCAAGACCCUGUCUCAAAAGAAAACAAAACUAAAAGGGCAGUGGUAGAUUGCUUGCUGAGCAUGUAUGAGACGCUGAGUUCAAUUUCCAGUACAGAAAAAAAAAAGAAAGAAAUAAAAAGAAAACAGCAAGGAGCAGGGUGUCAGGUGGGAAGCUGGAUAUUUCUGAGCAGCUAGGUUAUGACAUUUGUAAAACACAGAGGCCGGAGGAUUCUGGAAUGUUUGAGAACGACUUCAUCGUGGCUAGAAUUCAGGACACUAAAAGGGACCUGAUAAGAGGAGAAACCCAGGAACACUCUCAGAUAUACAACAUAAAGGCUGCAGCGUGUACGUUGGGUGUCUGAACUCGGUGGUGAAGGUAACAACCAACCAUGCCAUGGCCCCAGCACACAAGCGCUCGUCGGGCUCCUGACACCAAAAUAUUCCAUAGCAAUAUGGAAAUUAAUUUCAGGAGAGGGAUGCUGAAGAAAGAUGGAGAAAUUGAGAUGCUUUCAACUCUAGGAAAAAAACUAAGUCUUGACAAUUCCACUAAGGAUGGAAGAAAGAGGGCUACCUUUCCCUUAGCCCUGGCUCUCGGCAGCCACUGGACCCCUGCACUGCUGAUGGCUUGGGUGCCAAGUAGCUGCUCAGUCCACUCCACUCCAGAGGACACAAGUGCAUCUUUUGUGACUCCCCACUCCUUUCACUACCAAAGUCCCUAAGCCUUAACAUAUAUCAUCUGCACCGCAUUCCUGCCAAGCUUUAACAGGUAAUAAAGGAGGACCGGUGCGAUUUAUAGGACUAACAUAGACUGCUUAGGCACUCCCAUUGCAAGCCUCAAAUCAUCUGACCCCUCCUCCUGCCUACUGAAUUGUGUUAUGAGCAAGCUGUGGUACAGUAUCUCAGAACACUAAUCCCUAUCCCCACAUCAGUCGUGAAAAUAUUAAAUUGAGAAAAAGGUUGGUUUGGGGGUGAGUAGAAGAAAUCACUCAGUUAGAAAGACAGCAGCAAUUGAAGGAACCCAAAACUUUGAGUUAUUUAAUUCCUUAGAGGAAUAAGAAGACCAUCUGUAACUUUUAAAAAUAAAAAGCAUUUUGAACCCAUCACUCAAAUACCAUAGCAAGUAGUGCACUAAGUUUAGCAAAAGUAAUUAAUUAAGAAAUCUGUUAGAUGUUGGAAGCUUAUUUUGAAAUAAUAUCAUUCUUUUAUUAUUCUUAAAGGAUAUUGGGAAUCUGAAGUCCAUUUAGAAGUAGGAAUAUAUAUAUAUAUAUAUAUAUAUAUAUAUACUUAUGUGUGUAGACAUAUAUGUAUAUGUGCACACACACACACAUACACACACACACACACACACACAUACCCAUCAAUUCAGUACUUUACCAGAUAGGACUGGUAUUUGAAAAUGUGUAAUCUUGUAUUGCAGUUGCAUCUAAGGAACUAAGGAGAUACAACUAAGGAUUUCUGAAAUCUCAAGUAAAAAGCACAGGUAGACUGGGCUUAGUGACCCAAAGCUGUAAUCCCAGCUACUCAGGAGGUUGAGGCAGGAGGAUCAUGAGUUCAAAGCUAGCUUCAGCAACUUAGCAAGUCCCUAAGCAACUCGGAAGACCCUGUCUCUAAAUAUAUUUAUUACAAAGGGCUGAGGAUUUGGUUCAGUGGCUUAAUGCCCCUGGGUUUACUCCCUGGUACUAAAAAGAAUGAAACACGAAAGUGUACCAAUAAAGAAAAAUAAAAUAAAAAACACAAGUACCAGAGAGGUCAUGAACUUCAACUCUUUGUCACCUUUCCACAUGGAAUGUAUAAUUUUAUUCUGAACAACAAAACUUUCCCUCCAUAUUUUCUUGUCAUCAACAGUGAUCUAAGUGCACGUGCACUCUAAUCAACAUAAGUGGUGAGAACAUCAAAUAUGUGGGCUAGAGUCACCUGUGCCUGAGGGCAUGGCACUUGGGUAAGUCCAUGACAGGUGGCUGGACCAAGGAUAGAGCAUUUGUACACUUCCAGGGUAGGACUGGAGGGGUAUUCCUCUGAUAAAGACAGGCACAGGAAAAUGGUGCAGACGUCAGAUAGGCACCUUUUCCACAUCAGAGCUUUAAGCACGAGUCACUCUCCACACUCCCAACUAUGGAUCUAACUUAGAACUUUGCAUUUUGUUUGAUAAUAUGUCUCCUUUCACUUUUUUAUAUUUUCCUUUCUGAAAAGCAUAUCAGAAUCAGAUAGAGGUUGGCAAACUUCCCUGGACAGUUAGCAGGACUCUGCUCAGUCUCCCUUCUACCUGUCUCAGGUAUACGAUCAGAUCAUUUGCCUUAUAUAAUAGACAGAAUGGGCACUCGUAACUGUGAGUUGAAUAAAUGUAUCAAUUAACACAUUAAGUAAUUAAAUUUUUGGCAAAGUGAGAAAGUGUAAAAAUGUAAAUGAAAAUAAGAUAGAAAGAUAGUUAUUUCAUUCCAAGAAGACCCUUCAGCAGUUCAUGGGGUCAACUUGAAGACUUAUCCUACACAUAAGUUCUAAAAUGCAUUGACUGAUUUCCUCAAAGCUGAUCAUAGAGUCUGGAGUCUCAGAUUAUGGAUAUAGUAUGUAAUAUCCUUGUGAUUUCUGCCAUCUUUGGCUAGUCCUGUUGGGGAAGAGCCUCUUUUACAGAAUGGUUUUUCCAGUCUUUGUCCAAAAUUUCACUUAUAUGCUUCUUUGAGUCUAAAAGACUCACUAAAUGAUCAUCACAGACAUGGUCACUCACGGCAGAGUUCCCGAUGGCAGAAGUUCCUUCCACUCUCCAGAUGUUUUUGAGUGAGUUUAUAGUUCACCUUUCCCAUAAGACAUUCCCAUGAGAGGGAGGGCGUCCUAGACUUUGGGUCUUUGAGACACAAAGAUGGCCACUGUGGGACUAUCCAGCUUCUACUCAUGUAAGCCAAACUAAUAAAUCCCCUUUUUAUAAUUAUAUAUAAUACCCACAUAUACGAUGGUCUUGGUGAUUCUGUUCCUCUAUAGACCCUGAUAUACCAAUCAUUAUCAUUAACUCUAAAAAUUUUAAAAGCCACGUUAUCUUCACGGUGACUCCCUAGAAUGAUUGUAUCUGAUACUCAGCACCUUCCUGCACACAUGCCAUGGCUUCCUGGCCCCUCUAAGGGGAGAUGAAGCUCUCACAAGGCUCUAGAUGAAACACCUAAUGGCAGAGCCGGUCUGCUGGCUGCUGUCCAGUGCUCCUGCUCUUCAGCAUGUUUUUGCCAUCACCCAAGGAAGAAAAGCACCUCAUCUCCCGAAUGGUCCGUGGACAUCUGGGAGGCUGAAAGCACUGCAGAAAGCCUGGAAGAAGCACAGCAGAAGCCCCAGCAUGAGAUAGAAUAGGCCCAUGUCCACAGCAGGGAGGGCCACUGCAGAUCCUCUAACUGAUCAUUUGUGCACAUUUUCCUCAAGGGCAACUCAUUGCUCAAGUGGAGGCCUCCUGCCGGGGUCACAGGUGAUCCAAAAUGAACAUCUUUAAUGAGACUGACCCCCUGGUGGGAACACCAGACAGCAAUGGAGCCAAAGCAGGAAAAUACUGCAUGCAUGUGAACUCUCAAUUCUCAGAGCAUCCCAGUGUGGCAGUCCUGUCAGAGUCUCCUUCUCUAGAUGAGGAAACAAGAACAAAAAACUAAGCACGUGCUCAACAUCAUAUAUUGUGUAAUUGGCAGAGUCCCGCAGAAUUCUUCCACUCGCUUCUUUUAUUUCUGGAAAAAAAAAAAAACCCUCCAAAUAGAAUCACAGCUGCAAGAUGCUAUGUAUUGGGUUUGUGUGAUUCAGAAUUUGCCAUCACAAUUGUUCACUCUAGUUUUGUUUGUUUGGUUUUUAAUUUUAUGGGUUUUUCAAACAUAGCCUGAUGGUGUCUAGGAAAAGAAUUCCUAGAGUGUUUUUUUUUUUACUAUGUUCAAUAAG